CUGAAGCAGUGGGUCCAGCCAUGGGUCAGCUCUGCCUGGAAAGACCUUCCUCAGGAGGGGACAGAAUGGAGGGAAAGGCGGGAGCUGGCACUGGUGCGGAAUAAGGGAUCAGACCCCCCUAGUCCCAGGGAAAGGCUCCAGCACUGGUCUCUGACCCCGGCUGGCUCGGUGCCUCCAGAGGCCACUCCGCUAAGAUCAAGCAGUGAUCCUGGCCUGCUGAGAACCAGGUACGAGCCCAAGGCGGUUACCAUGGUGGCUGCCAUUCCCCCACCUCCUGGGUGCCAGCUGGUGUGGCUCUUUCAAGUCAGGUGCCCAGCGGAGAGAAGAAAGUGCCUCACGAGGGGACUUCAGAAGCCCAGAGGACACCUCAGGAUAGAGUGACAAGCAGGAGGAAGCAGGGAGGGCUGCUGGCUGGUCUUCCCUCCUCUCAGGCUUCAGUCCCCAGGAUCUGACUCCUCAGCGCCUGACCUCGGAGGCCCCUGGAUGCCCACUGGCACCUGCCACUCCACACGGCCCAGCUGGAUCUGCCCUGUCCUUCUUCCAGUUCUUGCUCCAUGUCCCCCUUCUAGCAGGAACCUUAGUUUCCUCGUCUACAGGAUGGAGAUAACAAAGUGCCCUUCACAGGGUUUCCUGAGGACGAUGUGAGGCAAGGCACGUGGAAGCCCUCCUGGACAGCAACAGCCCGCACGGCCCCUCCCUGGCUCUCCGCAGUCAGCCCGGACCACCUGCUUCUCGCUCACAUCCCCUCACUGUGUGAACUAUCCCCAGAGACUGUUGAGACCAGGAGGGCCGGGCCAGGGUCUCCUGGAUCCCAGCACUAACUCCAAGAAACCGAGGUUCCAGGCUGAGGAAGCUACAGGCCUCCAGACCACUCCCAAGUCCCAGGCAGGCCUUCCCCCUCCCCAACAGGGCAGGCACCCAGCCUCUGUGUGAGCUGCCUGGUGACAGGGCGCUCACUCUUUGAGCAGACUGAGGUAGUUCUGUGGACAGCAUGAUACAGUCAGCCAUGCUCAGGUCCCUGUCCCAGAUCUGCCUGCACCUUGCUGUGUGACUAUGGAAUGUCUGCUUAACCUCUCUGAACUCCAGUCUCCUCAGACUGUCCUUAAUAUGUAUCUAGGCACUAAGUGGUUUUGCGGUCAUGCCCUCUCUGGGCGUUAGUUUCCCCAUCUGCAUACGAUGGGGGUGGACCUGCCCCUCUCCCAGGCAGCAGACCUCCGGGUCAGCAGAACUGUCCAAGUCUGCAGUCGAGGGCCUGCAGGGAAUGUUCCCACUUAUGCACAACAGUGCCUGUGCUUUGGGGAUGCAUAAUUGAUUUAUGGCAUUUAAUAAAGGCCGGAGGCUACCUCUGGGACUCAG